UUUUUUUGACUUGUGAUGUUUGACUAUUUGUUUGGGCCUUGGUCAAGGUUGAUUUGACUUUUGUUGGAUUAAAAUCAUUGGAUUUAGGGGAUUUAUGAAAUGUACAUUCCAUCUCCCAAAAUGAAUGAAUGAUUUUAAUUUGAUAAAAUUCCUCCCAUGACCAAUUUGUGUUUCUCUCAUCUCCCUUCCCUCUUCAUCUUCAAUCCCAU
rnacentral:lncRNA from 1 species